rnacentral:rRNA from 1 species
UACGGAGGGUGCAAGCGUUAUCCGGAGUUACUGGGUUUAAAGGGUGAGUAGGCGGGCAUGUAAGUCAGUGGUGAAAUACCGGAGCUUAACUUCGGAACUGCCAUUGAUACUAUAUGUCUUGAAUAUUGUGGAGGUAAGCGGAAUAUGUCAUGUAGCGGUGAAAUGCAUAGAUAUGACAUAGAACACCGAUUGCGGAGGCACCUUGCUACGCAAAUAUUGACGCUGAGGCACGAAAGCGUGGGGAGCAAACAGG